UACGAAGGGGGCUAGCGUUGCUCGGAAUCACUGGGCGUAAAGCGCACGUAGGCGGAUCGUUAAGUCGGAGGUGAAAUCCUGGAGCUCAACUCCAGAACUGCCUUCGAUACUGGCGAUCUUGGAGUCCGGGAGAGGUGAGUGGAACUCCGAGUGUAGAGGUGAAAUUCGUAGAUAUUCGGAAGAACACCAGUGGCGAAGGCGGCUCACUGGCCCGGUACUGACGCUGAGACGCGAAAGCGUGGGGAGCGAACAGG
rnacentral:rRNA from 1 species